AGGUUUCAGUUAUCCCUGGGUGAGGAUUGAGUUGACAAAGUAGGAGAAAGCUGCAGGAUCUCUAAUUUAUGGUGCACACCGGCAGACGUGGAAGUACAGUGAAUCAAGAAGAAUUAACACAUGCUUUGGAAACAUCAACCCAAAAUAUCCUUGCCUUGUCUCUUUUCCUGAGAAAAUGGGUGGUUGUGAUGGUGCUAAUUGUCAGCUUGACAGAAUGGAGAAGCAGCUGGGACAAGCGUCUCUGGACAAGCUUGUGAAGGAUUUCCUUGAUCGCACUAACUGAUGAAAGAGGACCUGCCUACAAUGCGCCUACUGUUCCCAGACUAGGAUCCUGGACAGUGUAGAGUGAGCCAAGGCCGCCGAGCUGCAAUCAGCAUGCAGGCACUCUCUGACCAUGGGUUCAAUGUGACCAAAUGCUUAAAGUUCACUUGGCUCCAUCCUCUUGCCUCCAUGAGGAAACAUGUCUUGAGUUGUUAACUAAAUAAAUUCCUUGUCCCAUGA